rnacentral:misc_RNA from 1 species
GGCAACAUGGCUGCAUACAUUGCCUUUGAUUUGGAUGUCUCUGGAUCAUAGCUUACAUGGGUAAAAUUGUACAUGUGAUGUAGAUCAAAUAAUUUAUCAACAGUUGUAAAUGUCAACUAGGUUUCUAGUUCUACCCUUCACAUGGAAGAUGGGACACUGAAAUGCUGAUCAUUCAUUGGACAUCAUCUCCUGACAGGAAUCCAACCGAGAAUAUCUAAUUUGUUCUCGGCCUCCCUCUAAGACCUUCUCCAAGCAGAAUGGAGGGAUAUAGGGUUUCUCCGAUGGCAGCUCUUCUCUUCAUUGCGGCUUUAUUGGCUGCUUCUUGUAUACCAUCUGAAGCAGCUUUCUCCAAAGGAUCUUUUGAAGACAAUUUCAAUAUUAUGUGGUCAGAGGAGCAUUU